AGCCUUGGAUCAAAUGCUGCAUGAGAGACAUGUAAGAGUUUUAAUCAUGGAGUGCAGUAGACUAGCUGGGACGUCUGUGACAGCUUGAUUUCUUCCACAUCUCAGAUUUCCACAGUGUACCCCGGUGUUUUCUCACCUUCAGUCACUCAUAGGCAUCUUAGGUGAGGAAGCUGAGAACCAGAUAGAUUCAUCCAGUGUCCUAGGACACACAGGAUAGAACGCAAGGAUCUCACUUAGCCCAGUGGAUGGCAGUCAAUUAAUGGAGCGAGUGGCUUAGUC
rnacentral:lncRNA from 10 species